UACGUAUGGGGCAAGCGUUAUCCGGAAUUAUUGGGCGUAAAGAGUGCGUAGGUGGUUUUUUAAGCGUGGGGUUUAAGGCUACGGCUUAACCGUAAGUUCGCCCCAUGAACUGGGAAACUUGAGUGCAGGAGAGGAGAGUGGAAUUCCUAGGUGUAGCGGUGAAAUGCGUAGAUAUUAGGAGGAACACCAGUUGCGAAGGCGGCUCUCUGGACUGUAACUGACACUGAGGCACGAAAGCGUGGGGAGCAAACAGGAUUAGAUACCCUGGUAGUCCCUGAGCGGG
rnacentral:rRNA from 1 species